CCCGGCCGCUCAGGGCUGGGAGUGCGAUCGCCUGCGAGAGGGUUGGCGUGCUUGGCGCCCUGAGCGGGGACUAGGCAGCGCCCUCGGCUUCCUGAGAACUCCUCCCGGGAAGUUACUCAUCGAGGUCAGCGUCAUCGGGGAAACCGGGGCCUGUGCUCACGCUUCAAAUAAAACGCAACACCCUCGGAAAGUUAACCAAUUCCGCCCACGGACACACGCCCCCUUUACCCAGGUGCUCCCGGAGUCACAGGCUUGGGCACCCACACAAUAUGACAUUUCCCAUGAGAGGAGGAGGCCGCGAGCGAGCGGGCGCUGGAGCCCUCCCAGCGAAUACUUCCUGGGCUCUGGCCAGGCCCCAGCAUCACGCUGGGUGUGUGGAUGCAGGUGCACCGGGCAGCAGCGGCCCCUGCCCCUCCCGGAGCUCCCAGCCCAGGGGGCAGCCCACACAGGACCAUUCCUCUGCACGGAGAGGUGCUCUGCAGGAGGCAUGAGCAUGAUGGAGGGUGUUUAUCAGAGGCAAUCAGGGAGGCCUGCAUGCAAGAGGUGAUCAUCAAAGCUACAACGGGAAGGAAAAGUAGGUGCUGGCUCAACAUGGGGGGAGGGACCAGCUAUUACAAACACAGGGAGGGGCAGCAUUUGCCAAAAAGCCUGGAACCUGUACGACAGGGUCGUGUCCUGAGGGGACCGGAGGUGCAAAGCAGCGCAGAGAGAGGCAGAGGCCGAGCGCGUGGCCUUAGUGAGGGGUUCGGACAUUCUCCUGAGACGACGGAGGGGUUUCAGGCAGCAGAAUGAAACAGUCCGAUCUGCGUUUUUUAAAGUUAAAUGAGCCUGGCUGGUGUGGCUCAGUGGUUGAGUGUUGACCUGUGAACCAGGAGGUCACGGUUCGAUUCCCGGUCAAGGGCACAUGCCUGGGUUGUGGGCUCGAUCCCCAGUGGCGGGCGUGCAGGAGGCAGCCGAUCCAUGAUUCUCUCUCAUCAUUGAUGUUUCCAUCUCUCUCCCUCUCCCUUCCCCUCU